UCGGACAAUAUCACUGGAU
rnacentral:miRNA from 1 species